rnacentral:rRNA from 1 species
UGCCUCUUACAGUGGGAUAGCCCAGNGAAAUUUGGAUUUAAUACCGCAUAGUAUACAGAUUCAGCAUUGGGACUGUAUUAAACAUUUAUGGGUAAGAGAUGGGCAUGCCGUUCUAUUAGUUAGUUGGAGUGGUAACGGCACCCCAAGACAGCGAUAGAUAGGGGCCCUGANAGGGGGAUCCCCCCACACUGGUACUGAGACACGGACCAGACUCCUACCGGGAGGCAGCAGUGAGGAAUAUUGGACAAUGGGUCGAGAGCCUGAUCCACGCCAUGCCGCGUGCAGGAAGACGGCCCUAUGGGUUGUAAACUGCUUUGUACGGGAAGAAACCACCCCUCGUGAGGGGGCUUGACGGUACCGUAAGAAUAAGGAUCGGCUAACUCCGUG